rnacentral:rRNA from 1 species
CUAUGGCUCAGGAUGAACGCUAGCUACAGGCUUAACACAUGCAAGUCGAGGGGCAUCAUGGAGUUGCUUGCAAACUCUGAUGGCGACCGGUGCACGGGUGAGUAACGCGUAUCCAACCUUCCCUAUAGUAGAGGAUAGCCCGGCGAAAGUCGGAUUAAUACUCUAUGUUUUCCGUUGCAGACAUCUAAGAUGGAACAAAGGCUUGCCGCUAUAGGAUGGGGAUGCGUCUGAUUAGGUAGUCGGCGGGGUAACGGCCCACCGAGCCAUCGAUCAGUAGGGGUUCUGAGAGGAAGGUCCCCCACAUUGGAACUGAGACACGGUCCAAACUCCUACGGGAGGCAGCAGUGAGGAAUAUUGGUCAAUGGGCGAGAGCCUGAACCAGCCAAGUAGCGUGCAGGAUGACGGCCCUAUGGGUUGUAAACUGCUUUUAUGCGGGGAUAAAGUUCGCUACGUGUAGUGUUUUGUAGGUACCGCAUGAAUAAGGACCGGCUAAUUCCGUGCCAGCAGCGGC